rnacentral:rRNA from 1 species
CUACUAAGCGUACACGGUGGAUGCCCUGGCAGUCAGAGGCGAUGAAGGACGUGCUAAUCUGCGAUAAGCGCCGGUAAGGUGAUAUGAACCGUUAUAACCGGCGAUUUCCGAAUGGGGAAACCCAGUGUGAUUCGUCACACUAUCAUUAACUGAAUCCAUAGGUUAAUGAGGCGAACCGGGGGAACUGAAACAUCUAAGUACCCCGAGGAAAAGAAAUCAACCGAGAUUCCCCCAGUAGCGGCGAGCGAACGGGGAGGAGCCCAGAGCCUGAAUCAGCAUGUGUGUUAGUGGAAGCGUCUGGAAAGGCGCGCGAUACAGGGUGACAGCCCCGUACACAAAAGCGCAUGUGCUGUGAGCUCGAUGAGUAGGGCGGGACACGUGGUAUCCUGUCUGAAUAUGGGGGGACCAUCCUCCAAGGCUAAAUACUCCUGACUGACCGAUAGUGAACCAGUACCGUGAGGGAAAGGCGAAAAGAACCCCGGCGAGGGGAGUGAAAAAGAACCUGAAACCGUGUACGUACAAGCAGUGGGAGCNNGUGACUGCGUACCUUUUGUAUAAUGGGUCAGCGACUUAUAUUCUGUAGCAAGGUUAACCGUAUAGGGGAGCCGGAGGGAAACCGAGUCUUAAUUGGGCGUUAAGUUGCAGGGUAUAGACCCGAAACCCGGUGAUCUAGCCAUGGGCAGGUUGAAGGUUGGGUAACACUAACUGGAGGACCGAACCGACUAAUGUUGAAAAAUUAGCGGAUGACCUGUGGCUGGGGGUGAAAGGCCAAUCAAACCGGGAGAUAGCUGGUUCUCCCCGAAAGCUAUUUAGGUAGCGCCUCGUGAAUUCAUCUCCGGGGGUAGAGCACUGUUUCGGCUAGGGGGCCAUCCCGGCUUACCAACCCGAUGCAAACUGCGAAUACCGGAGAAUGUUAUCACGGGAGACACACGGCGGGUGCUAACGUCCGUCGUGAAGAGGGAAACAACCCAGACCGCCAGCUAAGGUCCCAAAGUCAUGGUUAAGUGGGAAACGAUGUGGGAAGGCCCAGACAGCCAGGAUGUUGGCUUAGAAGCAGCCAUCAUUUAAAGAAAGCGUAAUAGCUCACUGGUCGAGUCGGCCUGCGCGGAAGAUGUAACGGGGCUAAACCAUGCACCGAAGCUGCGGCAGCGANNNNNNNNNNNNNNNNNNNNNNNNNNNNNNNNNNNNGCUGGAGGUAUCAGAAGUGCGAAUGCUGACAUAAGUAACGAUAAAGCGGGUGAAAAGCCCGCUCGCCGGAAGACCAAGGGUUCCUGUCCAACGUUAAUCGGGGCAGGGUGAGUCGACCCCUAAGGCGAGGCCGAAAGGCGUAGUCGAUGGGAAACGGGUUAAUAUUCCCGUACUUGGUGUUACUGCGAAGGGGGGACGGAGAAGGCUAUGUUGGCCGGGCGACGGUUGUCCCGGUUUAAGCGUGUAGGUGUGUGUUCCAGGUAAAUCCGGUUCACUUUAACACUGAGGCGUGACGACGAGGCACUACGGUGCUGAAGCAACAAAUGCCCUGCUUCCAGGAAAAGCCUCUAAGCAUCAGGUAACAUCAAAUCGUACCCCAAACCGACACAGGUGGUCAGGUAGAGAAUACCAAGGCGCUUGAGAGAACUCGGGUGAAGGAACUAGGCAAAAUGGUGCCGUAACUUCGGGAGAAGGCACGCUGACACGUAGGUGAAGUGAUUUACUCACGGAGCUGAAGUCAGUCGAAGAUACCAGCUGGCUGCAACUGUUUAUUAAAAACACAGCACUGUGCAAACACGAAAGUGGACGUAUACGGUGUGACGCCUGCCCGGUGCCGGAAGGUUAAUUGAUGGGGUCAGCGCAAGCGAAGCUCCUGAUCGAAGCCCCGGUAAACGGCGGCCGUAACUAUAACGGUCCUAAGGUAGCGAAAUUCCUUGUCGGGUAAGUUCCGACCUGCACGAAUGGCGUAAUGAUGGCCAGGCUGUCUCCACCCGAGACUCAGUGAAAUUGAACUCGCUGUGAAGAUGCAGUGUACCCGCGGCAAGACGGAAAGACCCCGUGAACCUUUACUAUAGCUUGACACUGAACAUUGAGCCUUGAUGUGUAGGAUAGGUGGGAGGCUUUGAAGUGUGGACGCCAGUCUGCAUGGAGCCGACCUUGAAAUACCACCCUUUAAUGUUUGAUGUUCUAACGUGGACCCGUAAUCCGGGUUGCGGACAGUGUCUGGUGGGUAGUUUGACUGGGGCGGUCUCCUCCUAAAGAGUAACGGAGGAGCACGAAGGUUGGCUAAUCCUGGUCGGACAUCAGGAGGUUAGUGCAAUGGCAUAAGCCAGCUUGACUGCGAGCGUGACGGCGCGAGCAGGUGCGAAAGCAGGUCAUAGUGAUCCGGUGGUUCUGAAUGGAAGGGCCAUCGCUCAACGGAUAAAAGGUACUCCGGGGAUAACAGGCUGAUACCGCCCAAGAGUUCAUAUCGACGGCGGUGUUUGGCACCUCGAUGUCGGCUCAUCACAUCCUGGGGCUGAAGUAGGUCCCAAGGGUAUGGCUGUUCGCCAUUUAAAGUGGUACGCGAGCUGGGUUUAGAACGUCGUGAGACAGUUCGGUCCCUAUCUGCCGUGGGCGCUGGAGAACUGAGGGGGGCUGCUCCUAGUACGAGAGGACCGGAGUGGACGCAUCACUGGUGUUCGGGUUGUCAUGCCAAUGGCACUGCCCGGUAGCUAAAUGCGGAAGAGAUAAGUGCUGAAAGCAUCUAAGCACGAAACUUGCCCCGAGAUGAGUUCUCCCUGAGACUUAGAGUCUCCUGAAGGAACGUUGAAGACGACGACGUUGAUAGGCCGGGUGUGUAAGCGCAGCGAUGCGUUGAGCUAACCGGUACUAAUGAACCGUGAGGCUUAACCUUACAACGCCGAA